UUUUUAGAUUUUACAAUUUCUUAUAUAAUUCUAUCAGCAAAUUAUGGCAUGUUGAUUUUGUCUAUUGGUUUUGUGUAUUUUGUAGAAGAUUUGCACGGAUAAGGUCUUCGGGUAUUGGAGCAAUGUCUUUGCCCUCGGUUAAGUGAGGAUCAACAAUCCAGGCCCGUAAAUAAGGGAUUAAAGCUGCCAAAUACAACACACUUGGAGUGGAUGCUAAGUCAAGUGAUCAAUUCUAUCCAAGUAAGGAAUGGAAUGGUCUAUUUCUUCCCAAAUUUGAAGCCACUGUCUAACAAACCCGCAACAUACAUAAUGGGUUAGGCUAUACGGGAACGUCUUUCUUUGGAUUUGUUAUCUAUAGAUUCUAUAUUCUAAUUAUAAGGAGCAUAAAUUGUAUUCAGGCUUUUUUAUUUAUUGGAUGAGUUACACAAUGUAAAAAUAUUAUUGCUCUAUUUCUCUGUCCUGUCCAAAUUAUAUGAUAAUGAAUUAACUGCUAAAUUUUGUUUUUCAAAUAGAAUGUAAGAAUCUCCAUUGGACCAAA